rnacentral:sRNA from 1 species
CAGGCUUGCGGCGGGCGCUGGGCGCGGGAUCCGACUGUAGUCGUGAUGGAGGCGGGCGACUUUCUGGACUCGCUCAUUUACGGAGCAUGCGUGAUCUUCACCCUUGGCAUGUUCUCCGCCGGCCUCUCGGACCUCAGGCACAUGCGAAUGACCCGGAGUGUGGACAACGUCCAGUUCCUGCCCUUUCUUACCACGGAAGUCAAGUGAGGGGGCGACGGCUGCGCAACCUGGGCUGGCUGAGUUAUGGGGCUUUGAAGGGAGACGGGAUCCUCAUCGUCGUCAACACAGUGGGUGCUGCGCUUCAGACCCUGUAUAUCUUGGCAUAUCUGCAUUACUGCCCUCGGAAGCGUGUUGUGCUCCUACAGACUGCAACCCUGCUAGGGGUCCUUCUCCUGGGUUAUGGCUACUUUUGGCUCCUGGUACCCAACCCUGAGGUCCGGCUUCAGCAGUUGGGCCUCUUCUGCAGUGUCUUCACCAUCAGCAUGUACCUCUCACCACUGGCUGACUUGGCUAAGGUGAUUCAAACUAAAUCAACCCAAUGUCUCUCCUACCCACUCACCAUUGCUACCCUUCUCACCUCUGCCUCCUGGUGCCUCUAUGGGUUUCGACUCAGAGAUCCCUAUAUCAUGGUGUCCAACUUUCCAGGAAUCGUCACCAGCUUUAUCCGCUUCUGGCUUUUCUGGAAGUACCCCCAGGAGCAAGACAGGAACUACUGGCUCCUGCAAACCUGAGGCUGCUCACCUGACCACUGGGCACCUUAGUGCCAACCUGAACCAAAGAGACCUCCUUGUUUCAACUGGGCCUGCUGUCCAGCUUCCCAGGUGCAGUGGGUUGUGGGAACAAGAGAUGACUUUGAGGAUAAAGGGACCAAAGAAAGAGCUUUACUUAGA